rnacentral:rRNA from 1 species
CAAGUCGAACGAUGAAGUUCCUUCGGGAAUGGAUUAGUGGCGAACGGGUGAGGAACACGUGAGAAACCUGCCUUUCAUUUUGGGAUAACUCCGGGAAACCGGGGCUAAAACCGAAUACUCCGUCUUGGCGGCAUCGCUAAGCCGGGAAAAAAUUUUGAUGAAAGAUGGUCUCGCGGCCUAUCAGCUAGUUGGUGAGGUAAUGGCUCACCAAGGCGACGACGGGUAGCCGGCCUGAGAGGGCGACCGGCCACACUGGGACUGAGACACGGCCCAGACUCCUACGGGAGGCAGCAGUGGGGAAUAUUGGGCAAUGGGCGCAAGCCUGACCCAGCGACGCCGCGUGAGGGAUGAAGGCCUUCGGGUUGUAAACCUCUUUCAGUAGGGAAGAAGCGAAAGUGACGGUACCUAAAGAAGAAGCACCGGCUAACUAUGUGCCAGCAGCCGCGGUAAUACAUAGGGUGCAAGCGUUGUCCGGAAUUAUUGGGCGUAAAGAGCUCGUAGGUCGUUUGCCGCGUCGAUUGUGAAAAUCUGAGGCUCAACCUCAGACCUGCAGUCGAUACGGGCAAACUAGAGUGUGGUAGGGGAGACUGGACUUCCUGGUGUAGCGGUGGAAUGCGCAGAUAUCAGGAGGAACACCAAUGGCGAAGGCAGGUCUCUGGGCCAUAACUGACACUGAGGAGCGAAAGCGCGGGGAGCGAACAGGAUUAGAUACCCUGGUAGUCCGCGCCGUAAACGAUGGGCACUAGCUGUGAGAGCCUUCCACGGUUCUCGCGACGCAGCAAACGCAUUAAGUGCCCCGCCUGGGGAGUACGAUCGCAGAUUAAAACUCAAGGAAUUGACGG